rnacentral:rRNA from 1 species
AUUGAACGCUGGCGGCAGGCCUAACACAUGUAAGUCGAGCGGAUGAAGGGAGCUUGCUCCUGGAUUCAGCGGCGGACGGGUGAGUAAUGCCUAGGAAUCUGCCUGGUAGUGGGGAUAACGUCCGGAAACGGGCGCUAAUACCUCAUACGUCCUGAGGGAGAAAGUGGGGGAUCUUCGGACCUCACGCUAUCAGAUGAGCCUAGGUCGGAUUAGCUAUUUGGUGGGGUAAAGGCCUACCAAGGCGACGAUCCGUAACUGGACUGAGAGGAUGAUCAGUCACACUGGAAAUGAGAAACGGUCCAGACUCCUACGGGAGGCAGCAGUGGGGAAUAUUGGACAAUGGGCGGAAGCCUGAUCCAGCCAUGCCGAGUGUGUGAAGAAGGUCUUCGGAUUGUAAAGCACUUUAAGUUGGGAGGAAGGGCAGUAAGUUAAUACCUUGCUGUUUUGACGUUACCAACAGAAUAAGCACCGGCUAACUUCGUG